rnacentral:rRNA from 1 species
GAUGAACGCUGGCGGCGUGCCUAAUACAUGCAAGUCGAGCGAACAGAUGAGGAGCUUGCUCCUCUGACGUUAGCGGCGGACGGGUGAGUAACACGUGGAUAACCUACCUAUAAGACUGGGAUAACUUCGGGAAACCGGAGCUAAUACCGGAUAAUAUAUUGAACUGCAUGGUUCAAUAGUGAAAGACGGUUUUGCUUUCACUUAUAGAUGGAUCCGCGCCGCAUUAGCUAGUUGGUAAGGUAACGGCUUACCAAGGCAACGAUGCGUAGCCGACCUGAGAGGGUGAUCGGCCACACUGGAACUGAGACACGGUCCAGACUCCGACGGGAGGCAGCAGUAGGGAAUCUUACGCAAUGGGCGAAAGCCUGACGGAGCAACGCCGCGUGAGUGAUGAAGGUCUUCGGAUCGUAAAACUCUGUUAUUAGGGAAGAACAAAUGUGUAAGUAACUAUGCACGUCUUGACGGUACCUAAUCAGAAAGCCACGGCUAACUACGUG